rnacentral:lncRNA from 1 species
AUUGAUAGCAAGAAAUCCAAAACACCCUUUCCCAAAAGACAGACAAAUUGAUGGCUUGAGGACAAAAAAGGCUUCUCAAGAUUCUUGGCUUCUCUUUAAAUGUAACUGUAAUGCACAUGUUUGUUUUUAUAAGGGAUAGCUAUGGCUGUAUUUGUCAUGAAUUUGGAAUUAUUGAAUUCAAGGAUGAAUGUGGGGAGAUGCAUUAACUAAGUGCCAAAAAUGAAUUUGAAGUUGGACUGUGUGCUCAUUUUACUUUUGAGACUUUCUUAAUGAGGUAGGUUAAUAUUAAAUGAAAAUAAUUAUGUAUGAAUAUUUUUCACCUAAGUUAUCUUAUUCAGUCCUCCCCCCUACAUACCAAGAAAUAAGUAUUUUACAACCUCCCUCUGCUUAAGAGGAAAUUGAUGUUCCAAGAGGUUAAUUUGCCCAGAUCACACUGUGGCAGACGAGAACUUAAACCCAGGUCUUCUGCUCCCAGCACCCAUGGUGUAUCCACUCCACUGGGUUCCCAAACCUGAAUGGGUUUCUGAAUUAGCCCUGAAGCUUUUAAAAUUUACUGAUUCCUGGAGUGGCCUCCAGAAUCUAUAUGCUUAAAAAUCUCUGAACUGUUUCUGGUGAUUAACCUCGUUGGGAACCCGCUAUACAAAACUAAGGUAAAUGAAACACCAUUCUCUUACCAAUCAGUACAAAUUCUUUUUGACUCUGGGGACGUAGGUGAGUGGAUCUUUUGAAAGUCCGCAGAGCCACACCUGGGAAGUGUUAGCAUCCACCCUGCGACAGUUUGGGAUUAGCUGGUUCAGACUGAUUACUAGCACCUGGAAGCGUAUGAUGAGGGGGGAAGGUAGAUCAUAACAAUAUAAAGUGCUGUUUCUCAACCUUUUCCUGGGCAACUCGGAAGUGCAGGGACACAUGACGGGGCUGCCAUGGGCUGGGAACACUUGGACAAAACCAAAAUCAGAGGAGCCAGAUAGACUACCAUCAAAAUACAACAUGCUGAAUGCUUCAGUUCUGGACAGAGUGUGUCCUUCAGAAUGAGUUCGUGCAGAUACAAUAAACCCAGGGAAGGACUUCA